GCCAAUAAAGUUAGUGAUUGCUUGCAACCCAUGCAGGGGCAUUAAGAUGGUGUGUAUGUCUCGUUUGGCAUUUGUGCUUGGUAUAGUCGGUCGCAUUUACAACCCACCUGUUCUAUGUUGCGUAGUGGGUACGGAGCACUCAGGUGGAUGCUCUAGACAUCCUUGCACCUGAAGGCUGGCUUCUCAGAGCAGUUGAUUGCCGCUUGCUUCCAACAGUGGGCGGAUAAAAGGUCGUUGAUCCUUUGGCCUUAUUCAUCCCAAGGAUCCUAGAUGACAUAGCACCAUCUUU
rnacentral:SRP_RNA from 1 species